rnacentral:rRNA from 1 species
GUGGGGAAUAUUGCACAAUGGGCGAAAGCCUGAUGCAGCAACGCCGCGUGAAGGAUGAAGGCCUUUGGGUCGUAAACUUCUGUCCUUGGGGAAGAAAAAAAUGACGGUACCCCUGGAGGAAGUCCCGGCUAACUACGUGCCAGCAGCCGCGGUAAUACGUAGGGGGCGAGCGUUAUCCGGAAUUAUUGGGCGUAAAGAGUACGUAGGUGGUUUUUUAAGCGCAGGGUUUAAGGCGAUGGCUCAACUGUCGUUCGCCCUGUGAACUGGAAGACUUGAGUACAGGAGAGGAAAGCGGAAUUCCUAGUGUAGCGGUGAAAUGCAUAGAUAUUAGGAGGAACACCAGUGGCGAAGGCGGCUUUCUGGACUGUAACUGACACUGAGGUACGAAAGCGUGGGGAGCAAACAGGAUUAGAUACCCGAGUAGUCC